UCACUGUCGAUCUUUCAAGGCCCGAGCGGCCGCGGCCUUACCUGGUGUGCGCGCUCGGCUGGCACAGACCGACCCAAACUGG